rnacentral:tRNA from 2 species
ACCUAAAAAGUCCUCUAAACAC